UAAAGUCAGUCACGUGUGAUUGUUUGCAGGUACCAUACGAAUAAGGACCGGCUAAUUCCGUGCCAGCAGCCGCGGUAAUACGGAAGGUCCGGGCGUUAUCCGGAUUUAUUGGGUUUAAAGGGAGCGUAGGCUGGAGAUUAAGUGUGUUGUGAAAUGUAGACGCUCAACGUCUGACUUGCAGCGCAUACUGGUUUCCUUGAGUACGCACAACGUUGGCGGAAUUCGUCGUGUAGCGGUGAAAUGCUUAGAUAUGACGAAGAACUCCGAUUGCGAAGGCAGCUGACGGGAGCGCAACUGACGCUGAAGCUCGAAGGUGCGGGUAUCGAACAGGAUUAGAUACCCUGGUAGUCCGCACAGUAA
rnacentral:rRNA from 1 species